UACAUGAAAGCCUUCACUCGCCAUUGUGAACUAUAUGAACGUGUUGGAUGGCCUUCUCUAUCAACACGAAGACUUCAACACUGGCAUAUCUUCAUAUACAAGGUUAUUUUAGGUCUAUUUCCAUCCUACCUUCUGACCUAUAUCAGUGUAAAUAAUACCAGGGCUUACAAUCUUUGUUCCCAGGAUUUUUUCCUUCUGUCUUUUCCACAGGUUAGAACUGAGCUGGGG